GAUGAACGCUGGCGGCGUGCCUAAUACAUGCAAGUCGAGCGAACGGACGAGAAGCUUGCUUUUCUGAUGUUAGCGGCGGACGGGUGAGUAACACGUGGAUAACCUACCUAUAAGACUGGGAUAACUACGGGAAACCGGAGCUAAUACCGGAUAAUAUUUUGAACCGCAUGGUUCAAAAGUGAAAGACGGUCUUGCUGUCACUUAUAGAUGGAUCCGCGCUGCAUUAGCUAGUUGGUAAGGUAACGGCUUACCAAGGCAACGAUGCAUAGCCGACCUGAGAGGGUGAUCGGCCACACUGGAACUGAGACACGGUCCAGACUCCUACGGGAGGCAGCAGUAGGGAAUCUUCCGCAAUGGGCGAAAGCCUGACGGAGCAACGCCGCGUGAGUGAUGAAGGUCUUCGGAUCGUAAAACUCUGUUAUUAGGGAAGAACAUAUGUGUAAGUAACUGUGCACAUCUUGACGGUACCUAAUCAGAAAGCCACGGCUAACUACGUG
rnacentral:rRNA from 1 species